GGGGGCCCGCACAAGCGGUGGAGCAUGUGGUUUAAUUCGAUGCAACGCGAAGAACCUUACCUGGUCUUGACAUCCACAGAAGUUUCCAGAGAUGGGAAUGUGCCUUCGGGAACUGUGAGACAGGUGCUGCAUGGCUGUCGUCAGCUCGUGUUGUGAAAUGUUGGGUUAAGUCCCGCAACGAGCGCAACCCUUAUCCUUUGUUGCCAGCGGUCCGGCCGGGAACUCAAAGGAGACUGCCAGUGAUAAACUGGAGGAAGGUGGGGAUGACGUCAAGUCAUCAUGGCCCUUACGACCAGGGCUACACACGUGCUACAAUGGCGCAUACAAAGAGAAGCGACCUCGCGAGAGCAAGCGGACCUCAUAAAGUGCGUCGUAGUCCGGAUUGGAGUCUGCAACUCGACUCCAUGAAGUCGGAAUCGCUNAUAAUCGUGAAUCAGA
rnacentral:rRNA from 1 species